rnacentral:rRNA from 1 species
GAUGAACGCUGGCGGUAUGCUUUACACAUGCAAGUCGUACGAGAGUUUUUAACUCAAGUGGCGGACGGGUGAGUAACACGUAAGAAUUUGCCUUUAGGAGGGGGACAACAACUGGAAACGGUUGCUAAUACCCCAUAUGCUUUCGAGUGAAACGGUUUUUCCGCCUAAAGAGAAGCUUGCGGCUGAUUAGCUUGUUGGUAAGGUAAUGGCUUACCAAGGCGACGAUCAGUAUCUGGUUUGAGAGGACGAUCAGACACACUGGAACUGAGACACGGUCCAGACUCCUACGGGAGGCAGCAGUGGGGAAUUUUCCGCAAUGGGCGAAAGCCUGACGGAGCAAUACCGCGUGAGGGAUGACUGCCUAUGGGUUGUAAACCUCUUUUUUCAGGGAGGAACAAAAUGACG